AGUCGAGCGGACGGAUGGGAGCUUGCUCCCUGAAGUCAGCGGCGGACGGGUGAGUAACAGCGUGGGCAACCUGCCUGUAAGACUGUGGAUAACUGUCGGGAAACCGAGAGCUAAUACCGGAUAAUGCAUUUCCCCUCAUGGGGAUAUGCUGAAAGAUGGUUUCAGGCUAUCACUUACAGAUGGGCCCGCGGCGCAUUAGCUAGUUGGUGAGGUAACGGCUCACCAAGGCAACGAUGCGUAGCCGACCUGAGAGGGUGAUCGGCCACACUGGGACUGAGACACGGCCCAGACUCCUACGGGAGGCAGCAGUAGGGAAUCUUCCGCAAUGGACGAAAGUCUGACGGAGCAACGCCGCGUGAGUGAUGAAGGUUUUCGGAUCGUAAAACUCUGUUGUCAGGGAAGAACAAGUGCCGGAGUAACUGCCGGCACCUUGACGGUACCUGACCAGAAAGCCACGGCUAACUACGUGCCAGCAGCCGCGGUAAUACGUACGUGGCAAGCGUUGUCCGGAAUUAUUGGGCGUAAAGCGCGCGCAGGCGGUCUCUUAAGUCUGAUGUGAAAGCCCACGGCUCAACCGUGGAGGGUCAUUGGAGACUGGGGGACUUGAGUGCAGAAUAGGAAAGUGGAAUUCCACGUGUAGCGGUGAAAUGCGUAGAGAUGUGGAGGAA
rnacentral:rRNA from 1 species